AUAUGUUUUAAUACAGCAAAAGAAUCGUUCUUCUUGUUAAACGCGUCCAUUUUGUUGAAAGUAUCACUUCAAUUACGUACGUAUUAAGAAUCGUGACGUUUAUCGACAGUAUGGCAGAUGUUGUGAACCGUACUGCGUAGUAGUAAAUUGUCUAUAGAUAGCUACUGUGUCCUUAGGAUAGCUUUCGUUUUUGUCAACAAGUUUUGUUUACCGAGGAUAAAAAAAUAUCUGAUUACCUGGUCGACGGUCUACUUUCAUCCGCAUCCUUAAGGGGCUUUACAUCGCGAUCCUCCUUCGGUGUUUUAUGUUGGAUAAUUCUCAUUCCUCCCGCUUUUACUGAAGGAAAAAUAUAAAACGCACAUUUUUAAUCGAAUAAAGUUUAAA